ensembl:lncRNA
GGUCAGGCGAGCGCGCGCCUCUGCCCUGCUGUUCUCGGUUGAGAGCAUCGGUUCGGCUACCUGCACCUCGUGCUCGCUGCUUCCUUUUCACCGCGGCCUGGUGGUUCCGACCCGAGGGCCGUGAACCCUGAGGACAGGUGAGCGCGUAGGCUCACGGACGUCAAGGAGAUGCGGGGGUGUAUUGUUGAGCAAUUAAGCCAGGGAGCAGCCUCUCAGCUUUGAGGAACCUUCCCAAGAGGUAGGAUUGGUGUGUUCCAGGCUGACUGGCAUUCAAUCAGGAUGCCCGCCUGUCAUAGCUUAUUAAUAUGUGGCAAGAUGCCAACUCGGGCCUCCAGAGGUAGCAGAGCCUUGCCCAAGGAGGAGGAUCUCGAGUCAACCAUAGCUACGAGUCAAUAUAUGGAUAUUGAUCCGAGUGUCCUGGCUCUCCUGUGACUACUGUAUAGACUGCUUCCACUAUUUUGAAGUACAUGGUGCCCUCUGGUGGCCAUUCCUACCCCAUAGUGGGCCAUUCGACCUCAGAGUAUGCGGAGGUGGUUAGGCACCAUCUUUACCCCAUAGUGAAAGUGAAGUCGCUCAGUCGUGUCUGACUCUUAGCGACCCCACGGACUGCAGCCCUCCAGGCUCCUCCAUCCAUGGGAUUUUCCAGGCAAGAGUACUGCAGUGGGUUGCCGUUUCCUUCUCCAAUGCAUGAAAGUUAAAAGUGAAAGUGAAGUCGCUCAGUCACGUCCGACUCUUAGCGAUCCCAUGGACUGCAGCCUACC